CAGCAGCCGCGGGAAUACGAAGGGUGCAAGCGUUACUCGGAAUUACUGGGCGUAAAGCGUGCGUAGGUGGUGGUUUAAGUCCGUUGUGAAAGCCCUGGGCUCAACCUGGGAAUUGCAGUGGAUACUGGGUCACUAGAGUGCGGUAGAGGAUAGUGGAAUUUCCGGUGUAGCAGUGAAAUGCGUAGAGAUCGGAAGGAACAUCUGUGGCGAAGGCGACUAUCUGGGCCAACACUGACACUGAGGCACGAAAGCGUGGGGAGCAAACAGGAUUAGAUACCCCAGUAGUUCCUGUCUCUUAUCA
rnacentral:rRNA from 1 species